rnacentral:rRNA from 1 species
AGACCCGAAACCCGGUGAUCUAGCCAUGGGCAGGUUGAAGGUUGGGUAACACUAACUGGAGGACCGAACCGACUAAUGUUGAAAAAUUAGCGGAUGACCUGUGGCUGGGGGUGAAAGGCCAAUCAAACCGGGAGAUAGCUGGUUCUCCCCGAAAGCUAUUUAGGUAGCGCCUCGUGAAUUCAUCUCCGGGGGUAGAGCACUGUUUCGGCUAGGGGGCCAUCCCGGCUUACCAACCCGAUGCAAACUGCGAAUACCGGAGAAUGUUAUCACGGGAGACACACGGCGGGUGCUAACGUCCGUCGUGAAGAGGGAAACAACCCAGACCGCCAGCUAAGGUCCCAAAGUCAUGGUUAAGUGGGAAACGAUGUGGGAAGGCCCAGACAGCCAGGAUGUUGGCUUAGAAGCAGCCAUCAUUUAAAGAAAGCGUAAUAGCUCACUGGUCGAGUCGGCCUGCGCGGAAGAUGUAACGGGGCUAAACCAUGCACCGAAGCUGCGGCAGCGACACUGUGUGUUGUUGGGUAGGGGAGCGUUCUGUAAGCCUGUGAAGGUGGCCUGUGAGGGUUGCUGGAGGUAUCAGAAGUGCGAAUGCUGACAUAAGUAACGAUAAAGCGGGUGAAAAGCCCGCUCGCCGGAAGACCAAGGGUUCCUGUCCAACGUUAAUCGGGGCAGGGUGAGUCGACCCCUAAGGCGAGGCCGAAAGGCGUAGUCGAUGGGAAACGGGUUAAUAUUCCCGUACUUGGUGUUACUGCGAAGGGGGGACGGAGAAGGCUAUGUUGGCCGGGCGACGGUUGUCCCGGUUUAAGCGUGUAGGUGUGUGUUCCAGGUAAAUCCGGUUCACUUUAACACUGAGGCGUGACGACGAGGCACUACGGUGCUGAAGCAACAAAUGCCCUGCUUCCAGGAAAAGCCUCUAAGCAUCAGGUAACAUCAAAUCGUACCCCAAACCGACACAGGUGGUCAGGUAGAGAAUACCAAGGCGCUUGAGAGAACUCGGGUGAAGGAACUAGGCAAAAUGGUGCCGUAACUUCGGGAGAAGGCACGCUGA